GACGAACGCUGGCGGCGUGCCUAAUACAUGCAAGUAGAACGCAGAAGAGAGGAGCUUGCUCUUCUUGGAUGAGUUGCGAACGGGUGAGUAACGCGUAGGUAACCUGCCUUGUAGCGGGGGAUAACUAUUGGAAACGAUAGCUAAUACCGCAUAACAAUGGAUGACACAUGUCAUUUAUUUGAAAGGGGCAAUUGCUCCACUACAAGAUGGACCUGCGUUGUAUUAGCUAGUAGGUGAGGUAACGGCUCACCUAGGCGACGAUACAUAGCCGACCUGAGAGGGUGAUCGGCCACACUGGGACUGAGACACGGCCCAGACUCCUACGGGAGGCAGCAGUAGGGAAUCUUCGGCAAUGGGGGCAACCCUGACCGAGCAACGCCGCGUGAGUGAAGAAGGUUUUCGGAUCGUAAAGCUCUGUUGUAAGUCAAGAACGAGUGUGAGAGUGGAAAGUUCACACUGUGACGGUAGCUUACCAGAAAGGGACGGCUAACUACGUGCCAGCAGCCGCGGUAAUACGUAGGUCCCGAGCGUUGUCCGGAUUUAUUGGGCGUAAAGCGAGCGCAGGCGGUUUGAUAAGUCUGAAGUUAAAGGCUGUGGCUCAACCAUAGUUCGCUUUGGAAACUGUCAAACUUGAGUGCAGAAGGGGAGAGUGGAAUUCCAUGUGUAGCGGUGAAAUGCGUAGAUAUAUGGAGGAACACCGGUGGCGAAAGCGGCUCUCUGGUCUGUAACUGACGCUGAGGCUCGAAAGCGUGGGGAGCGAACAGGAUUAGAUACCCUGGUAGUCCACGCCGUAAACGAUGAGUGCUAGGUGUUGGAUCCUUUCCGGGAUUCAGUGCCGCAGCUAACGCAUUAAGCACUCCGCCUGGGGAGUACGACCGCAAGGUUGAAACUCAAAGGAAUUGACGGGGGCCCGCACAAGCGGUGGAGCGUGUGGUUUAAUUCGAAGCAACGCGAAGAACCUUACCAGGUCUUGACAUCCCGAUGCUAUUUCUAGAGAUAGAAAGUUACUUCGGUACAUCGGUGACAGGUGGUGCAUGGUUGUCGUCAGCUCGUGUCGUGAGAUGUUGGGUUAAGUCCCGCAACGAGCGCAACCCCUAUUGUUAGUUGCCAUCAUUCAGUUGGGCACUCUAGCGAGACUGCCGGUAAUAAACCGGAGGAAGGUGGGGAUGACGUCAAAUCAUCAUGCCCCUUAUGACCUGGGCUACACACGUGCUACAAUGGUUGGUACAACGAGUUGCGAGUCGGUGACGGCAAGCUAAUCUCUUAAAGCCAAUCUCAGUUCGGAUUGUAGGCUGCAACUCGCCUACAUGAAGUCGGAAUCGCUAGUAAUCGCGGAUCAGCACGCCGCGGUGAAUACGUUCCCGGGCCU
rnacentral:rRNA from 1 species